rnacentral:rRNA from 1 species
UGCGAGUGAAGCGGCAAAAGCUCAAAUUUGAAAUCGGUGUCCAUAAAGUGCAUCGAGUUGUAAUUUGGAGGGACAACUUCGGGGCGAACCACACCGUAAGUUUUUUGGAACAGGACAUCAUAGAGGGUGAGAAUCCCGUGUCUUGGUGUAGGGUCAAAUGUGAAGUGUCUCCGACGAGUCGAGUUGUUUGGGAAUGCAGCUCAAAAUGGGUGGUAAAUUUCAUCUAAAGCUAAAUAUUGGCGAGAGACCGAUAGCGCACAAGUAGAGUGAUCGAAAGAUGAAAAGCACUUUGAAAAGAGAGUUAAAAAGUACGUGAAAUUGUUGAAAGGGAAGCGCUUGCGACCAGACUCGAUCUUUGGAGAUCAGCCGGGCUUCGGUCCGGUGCCCUCUCCAACGAUUGGGCCAGCAUCGGUUCUGACGGUGGGAUAAAAGGAGGAGGAAUGUGGCUCCCCUUGGGGAGUGUUAUAGCCACCUUCACAAUGCUACCAGUUGGGACCGAGGACCGCGCUUCGGCUAGGAUGCUGGUGUAAUGGUCUU